rnacentral:lncRNA from 1 species
CAGCACGUACUUCCUCACUUCUGAAUCCAUAAAAAUCCCUGACUCAGCUAGACUCCAUGCUCUUUGGGACGACCUGACUGCAGAUAGGAGCCACCCACUUCAGGAUUCCUCUACUUUGUUUGAGAUGACCUGCCUGUGGAUAGGAGCUACCCAUUUCUGGUCUCCUCUACACUCUUCAGGACAACCUGUCCACACAUAGCAGCUACCCACAUCGGGACUUCUCUAUAUUCUUCAGGAAAACCUGCACAUGGAUUGGAGCUACCCACAUUGGGAGUCCUCUACAUUCUUCAGGAUGACCUGCCUGUGGAGAGGAGUUACCCAUUUCAAGUCUCUACACUCUUAGGGAUGACUGCCCACAGAUGGGAGCUAUCCACUUCAAGUCUCCUCUAUACUCUUCAGGACAACCUGCCUGUGGAUAGGAGCUACCCACUUCAGGAUGCCUCUAAACUCUCUGGAUGAUCUGCCUGUAGAUAGCAGCUACCCACUUCAAGACUUUUCUAAACUCUUCAGGACAACCCACCCAUAGAUUGGAGCUACCCAAAUUUGGACUCCACUACACUCUUUGGGAUGACCUGCCUGUGGAUAGGAGUUAGCCACUUUGAGUCUCUAUACUCUUAGGGGUGACCUGUCUACAGAUAGGAGCUACACACUUCAGGUCCCCUCUCUGCUGAGACCUGUUCUGUCACUCAGUAAAGCUCCUCCUCACAUUGCUCAACCUCCAGUUGUCCAUGUAGCUUCAUUCUUCCUGGACAUGGGACAAGAACUUGGGACCUACUGAACAACAGGAGCGAAAAGAGCUGUUACCCAUUCCUGGAUGGCUGGCUGAGCUGUGGGCAAUGACAAGCUCCUGGACUGUGGGAGUGAAGAGUGGCACCCCUUCUGGGGGCCCAGACCUCAGGAUUCCCUGAGCCAGAGCUGCUGUAACACUAUAGUCCUCACACCCUCCAACAGUGCCGGGUGGCUGCCCCACACGACAGGAAGCAGUAGCAGGGCCAGGUCAGCCCAGCGGCUGCAGGCUGGGGAGGCAUAGCAGGACUGAAGGAGCUGUAACACAAACAGACUGAAACACACAAACACUGGAAACACCUCCCUGCUCACCACGCUUCAGGUGGCAAAAAGGAGAGAAGAGCUGAAGCCCUUCUGGGAUCCCAGACCUUGGGGCUCCACAAGCCUGAGCUGUGACAUGCUGUAACACCCUCUCUGGGGUUCUGUGGUUUUUGGCAUCUUCAAGCUUUUGGGCACUACCAUGUUCCCUGGCGCCUUCAGUAGAAACUGUUUGCGAUACGCCUGGUCCAGUUGCAGCGUCACACAGAGCUGGCAUCUGUGCUGGUACCAGGAGCUGCCCACCCACUGGCACUGCGCAGUGGCUGGACCUGUGCUUGCUCGGUCUUACACCCCCUUGCUGCUCCAUGCCUGGCUCACCCUUGGCAGGUGUGGGAUCUGGGCUGGUAGCGAGAGCCAAGCACAGCCUGCCAGGCCGAGUGGGUGGAAUGAGCCCAGUGGGAGCAAACAAAACCAAAGCAGAGGGACCGCCAGCCAUCAUGGAGGUUUCCUGCUGGAGAAGUGACAUCCUAAGGACCCUGUGACAGCCAUAUCCUCGCAGCCUCACGUCCUCACUGCAUCUCAGGGGGAAGAUACCCACCUGGGCGUCAGUAACAGCUGCUUUCCACCUUGGGAGAGUUUGCAAGAGAAAGAGAAAGAGAAAGAACAAGAAAAAGAUAAUGAAAGCCAGAAAAAAUGAAAAAGUCUCACUGGCUAAAAUCAAGAUGUUGGCAGGACCACGUUCCUUUCUGGAGGUCUAAAAGAGACUCUGUUGCCCUGACUUUUCACCUUCUAGGACCCUUCCACAUUUCUUGCCUCAUGACCACUUCCACGCAGCCGUGUCUCUGGUUCUCUGGCCAUCCUCCCACAACCUGGAGAGUUUCCACUUCGAAGGUAAGGCUCUCCAGGGUAAUCCAGGAUAUUCCAUCUCAAGGUUCCCACCUUAAGCAUGCCUGCAAAGUGGCUUUUCCCAGGUAGGGCAACAUUCAGUUUCCAGGGAUUAGGAUGUGAACAACUUUGUGAGGUGAUCAUUGUAUCUACUAUAGGCA